UACGUAGGGUGCGAGCGUUGCCCGGAUUUAUUGGGCGUAAAGGGCGCGUAGGCGGCCACGCACGUCCGUUGUGAAAUCGCCCGGCUCAACUGGGCGGGGUCAGCGGAUACGGCGUGGCUAGAGCAAGCUAGGGGGCAAUGGAAUUCCCGGUGUAGUGGUGGAAUGCGUAGAUAUCGGGAGGAACACCAAUGGCGAAGGCAGCUCGCUGGGACGUGACUGACGCUGAGACGCGAAAGCGUGGGGAGCAAACAGG
rnacentral:rRNA from 1 species